rnacentral:rRNA from 1 species
AAUGAACGCUGGCGGCGUGCUUAACACAUGCAAGUCGAACGAGAAAGGGAUUGCUUGCAAUCCUGAGUAGAGUGGCGCACGGGUGAGUAACACGUAGAUAAUCUACCUUCAAGCCUGGGAUAACUGUUCGAAAGGGCAGCUAAUACCGGAUAAAGUGGAUUGACACAAGUCGAUUCAUGAAAGACAGCCUAUCCAUAGGAAGCAGUCGUUUGGAGAUGAGUCUGCGGACCAUUAGCUUGUUGGUGGGGUAAUGGCCUACCAAGGCUGCGAUGGUUAGCUGGUCUGAGAGGAUGAUCAGUCACACUGGAACUGGAACACGGUCCAGACUCCUACGGGAGGCAGCAGUGAGGAAUUUUGCGCAAUGGGGGUAACCCUGACGCAGCAACGCCGCGUGAGUGAAGAAGGCCUUUGGGUCGUAAAGCUCUGUCAACUGGGAAGAAGUUACAACUGUUUAAUAGAUGGAUGUAUUGACGGUACCAGUGGAGGAAGCGCCGGCUAACUCCGUGCCAGCAGCCGCGGUAACACGGGGGGCGCAAGCGUUAUUCGGAAUUAUUGGGCGUAAAGGGCGCGUAGGCGGUCUUGUCGGUCAGGUGUGAAAGCCCGGGGCUCAACCCUGGAAGUGCACUUGAAACAGCAAGACUUGAGUACGGGAGAGGAAAGCGGAAUUCCUGGUGUAGAGGUGAAAUUCGUAGAUAUCAGGAGGAACACCGAUGGCGAAGGCAGCUUUCUGGACCGAUACUGACGCUGAGGCGCGAAGGCGUGGGUAGCGAACGGGAUUAGAUACCCCGGUAGUCCACGCAGUAAACGUUGUACACUCGGUGUGGCGGAUAUUAAAAUCUGCUGUGCCCAAGCUAACGCAUUAAGUGUACCGCCUGGGAAGUACGGUCGCAAGACUAAAACUCAAAGGAAUUGACGG